UAUGACUUGAGAAGCUCCCUGGAUACCGUGUGUAUCUCAAAGCAAGCAGAGAGUGGCCUUGGCCUGUGGAGCUCUGACUCUCAAUCCCAUGCUCCUUUCUGAUAAUGGAAAAUCCAUCAUGUAUCAUGCUGAAAUCAAGAUAAUAAUACCCUUUACCUGCUUUAAGGUCCAGCAAUUCCACUUCUAUGUACUUAUCCAAGAGAAAUAAAAACAUGUCUACUAAAAGACUCAUACAACAAUGUUUAUGGAAACCAUAUUCACAAUAACCUCAAGCUGGAAAUGACCCAUAUGUCCAUUAAUAAGAGAACAGAUCAACAAAAUGUGGUAUAUGCAUACAAGGGGAUACUCCUCAGAAAUAAGAAGGAACAAGCUACUGAUGGUGUCAUCCAGCAGCUAGAGGCUAAAAAGGGGCACUCUACAAACUGAAUGAAAACAUGUUGACUUAUAAUGAGAAGCACAAGCAAAUGGAAGCAAAAGUGUGACUGUCAACAGUGAGUUGCAGUGUGGAUUCUCAGGAUAGCAAAGGCCUGGACUGCUCACCAAGUGCUUUGUGCAAGUUUGAACAGCAACAGCAAUGUCAUGUAAAACGACUGUUCUCAGGGUUAGAAUCUACUAGGGUGGGUUCAAAAACAUUAAACAAAACAUGAUGAAGGAAAAGUAUUAGAGUGUUCUUAAAUGAGUAGCAUCAAUGUGGUUAAAAUUAUGUUUGAUUAGAAACAGACAAAUAUUUAGCUAAGAGUAGAAUUUUAUCUCAUUCCAAAGCAAGGGGGGAG
rnacentral:lncRNA from 1 species